GACGAACGCUGGCGGCGUGCUUAACACAUGCAAGUCGAACGGAAAGGCCCUGCUUUGGUGGGGUGCUCGAGUGGCGAACGGGGGAGUAACACGUGAGUAACCUGUCCUUGACUUUGAGAUAACUUCAGGAAACUGGGGCUAAUACCGGCUAGGAGUUCCUGCUGCAGGGUGGGGGCUGGAUGGUUUCGGCGGUUGGGGAUGGAAUCGCGGCGUAUCAGCUUGUUGGUGGGGUAGUGGCUUACCAAGGCUUUGACGGGUAGCCGGCCUGAGAGGGUGACCGGCCACAUUGGGACUGAGAUACGGCCCAGACUCCUACGGGAGGCAGCAGUGGGGAAUAUUGCACAAUGGGCGGAAGGCUGAUGCAGCAACGCCGCGUGCGGGAUGACGGCCUUCGGGUUGUAAACCGCUUUCGCCUGUGACGAAGCGUGAGUGACGGUAAUGGGUAAAGAAGCACCGGCUAACUACGUG
rnacentral:rRNA from 1 species